CGUGCCCUGAGGUACGGAAUAACUGAGGGAAAACUUCAGCUAAUACCGUAUGAGCCCCGAGAGGGGGAAAGAUUUAUCGCCUUGGGAGCGGCCCGCGUCGGAUUAGCUAGUUGUGGGGUAACGGCCUACCAAGGCUUCGAUCCGUAGCUGGUCUGAGAGGACGAUCAGCCACACUGGGACUGAGACACGGCCCAGACUCCUACGGGAGGCAGCAGUGGGGAAUCUUGCGCAAGUGGGGCCAACCCUGACGCAGCCAUGCCGCGUGAACGAUGAAGGCCUUAGGGUUGUAAAGUUCUUUACCCGUGACGAUGAUGACGGUAACGGGGAAUAAGCUCCGGCUAACUUCGUG
rnacentral:rRNA from 1 species